AAAGUCGUAACAAGGUUUCCGUAGGUGAACCUGCGGAAGGAUCAUUAACAAAUCAUGUUGGUGCCUGGCCUUUGGGUCAAGGCCCAUAUAAACCCGAACCCGUGCAGCAAUGCCGGGCGAGGUGUGUGGUGUGGUGGGUGGUGUCCUUUUGGAUGCUGUCUGCUGGGCUUCACGCGGUGAAGAGCAAUGGGUUGCAUCUCGCUUAAUCUCGAGGUGGAAGCCAGCGGUCGGAUCCACAUAGACGCUUGUAUGUUUGACAGAGUUAGUUGACACUUAAAAAUGACAACUUUUAACAAUGGAUCUCUUGGCUCUU
rnacentral:misc_RNA from 1 species